rnacentral:lncRNA from 1 species
GUACUUUAGCUAUUUCCACUGGCUUGGUUAAUUCCUCCACAAUACUGGUUAGGAGUUUUCUUUGUGCGAGUAGAGCAUCGUUCGUUUCGAGCUCAAAUAUACCAUCCUUCUUUGCAUGAUGAUCUUUGUUAUACUCUGAAUUUUGAUCAUUGCUUCCAUGGAUUCGAUCAUCUUUAUGGCAUCAACAGAACUUUCUAACAUCAGUGCACCUCCUACUCUUGCAUCAAGAAAUAGUUUAUGUUACUGCUGAAGACCAUUUCUCAAAAUAUGAAUUUGCGUGAUGUCAUCAAAUCCAUGACUUGGACAUUUGCGAGGCAUGGACUUGUAUCUUUGCCAUGCUUCACAUAACGUCUCAUUGAAAACAAUGAUUAAUGUCUUUGCUUCAUAAAUUUUGCGUUGAGGAAAAAAUUAUUUGAUGAACUUGUCCUCCAAAGUGUUCUGAUUUGUUAGAAUUGUGAAUGAUUGGUCUAAGUACCAAUCUUUGGUUCGUUCGAUGAGGGAUUGAGGAAAUAACCUUAGGUAUAGGUUUUCCUCUGCGCUGUCUAAUGCUCCUGGACGUUCAUCAAUUUCAUAGAACUUUGUCAGAUGGUUGAUAGGAUCCUCAUAAUCCAUUCCGCUGAACGGAUUUGCAUGCAUAAGUUGGAUAACUCCCGUGUUGAUCUCCAUUUGCCUUUGAUUAUUUCCAGGUUUGGCUGAUUAAGCGUAUCUCCUCGGCCUGUUGUUAUUCAUUAUUGUUGUUGUUGAUGUUUCGUCAGUGUUGGCCAUAUUUGUUGUAGCUUGUUGUAAUGAUUUUCUUCGGUUCUUGGCUUUGCAUGCUUAGAGAAUUUUUCAGGACAUAAACUAAUAUAUACAUAUUUUAUCUGGUUCACUGAGCACAUGGGUGUGCUUAGUGGAAAUUACAUGUCAAAAUUGAACAAAAACUCUAUUUUUGCAAACUAAUUAGAUGCAGUCCUCGACAACGACACUAUUUUGAUAAAACUGGAUUUGGGGAUUCCUUAGCGUAGUGGUAAGUAUGCCAGUUUUUAUCAAACAAAUAAAAAUAUCAUAUCCACAGAGACCACACUUAGUUAUUUUAAGUUCCUAUUAACAGGUUUUAUGGACAAACUAUUUAUAAAAGUGUUUUAGUGGUUUAAAUCAACGGAAAACUGAAUCCAACGAUUGUAUAUUUUUUAUGCCUCAUAUAUAAUCAACCAUUUCCUCAUAGUACGUUUUCGGAUAAGGGUAGCGACACAAGAUCCAUAAAAACAAUGGACUUCUGAUGCACAAUGACAAAUUAGUUGAUUGUUUCUAUGGCAUAAUCUCAAAAAGUUAUACAUGAAUUUAGACUUACUCGCGAUCUCUCGUGCGAUAACACCUAUACAUAAUUUAAACCAUGUCCCUUAGAUAGCCAGUCUUGUAGGGCCUGACUAAAUCAAAAGAUCAAUUGUGGAACACUAUAUCGUCUUCAAAACAUUAAGAACGAAUUUUAACUAAAAUUAUAUUGAAAAAGAUAAAUCAUAUACAACAAACCAGAUUAAGAGUACUACAUAAAUUCAUAGCUAUAUACAUCUAAUUCCAACAUAAAAGAGAGUUUAGUUACCCAUGAGAUGCAUGACUAACAACAGAGGGUUGAUGAAUGUUGGGGGAAGCAUCAACAGGCUCGUCUUCAAGCUUCCAUGUCCCUCCAAUGGCUUCAACUACUCUAUGCCCUCAUUCUCUCUGUCUCCAAGCUUGUCAUCAAAAGCAUCAUAAAGGUGCCAUUCAACAUAUAGAUUAUUAUGAAUAAUUGAAUUUUACAGUUCUAUUAAAUCAUAUCAUACUGUUGUUGUGUGUUCGUAUUGUUGUUUCGUUUCUUGAUUAGAGAUUGGAGGGUAAUAGACGUGGCAACUUUCGCGGUGGUUUGGUUCUAUUAACCCGAAAGGGUCUGGUUCUAUUAACUCGAAAGGAUCUGAUUGGUUACUAACGUAUUGAAUCAAAGUUUUUACGCAUAUGCUUAAAACUGUUGUGUUUGGUGGUAUGACAUAUUCGAUUCUCUGGCAUUCCAGGUCUGUUUAGAUCUACAGGCUUCAAGGUGUCAUGUCUACCUCCACCCGAGUACUGUUAAUGUUCGAAAGAGCUUCUAUACUUGCUGAUGUUUUCAGGGAGUUGUUGGCGCUUGGAUUUUGUACCGUGUUGGCGGUCGAUCCAUUCGCCAUUUUAAACUCUAACUGUUUUUUGCAAACGUUCACUCUUUAUGUUUUUUGUAACUUGGUUUCGUGCCUGUAAGCAGGUUCGCUGAGUUGCGUUAGUGAUAAGUGAAUUUUUGUUACGAUAGUUUAGGGUUGGUCCACUUGGUACGAUUUAGCACGAUAUAUUUUAUACUUGAAUGAGGUCUAAUAUUCCCCCAGUCUCUGUAUCUCUCUAUUUUUAUUUAAUAUAUUUUCCCUUUCGUUAAAAAAAAUCAUAUCAUAUAUCUCCCACACUACACCAUAUCAUAUCUCCUUCUCCUUCCCUUGCCUCCCAUCCCACCACCACCAACAACCCAUGGCUUUCAAUGUGUGUAGUUCUGCAUUAAGACGAUUAAAAACCAGGAAACAAAUAUAAACACAUAUCAUCAUCAAACACAAAUCCCCUCACCAAACAAUUUUUUUUUUAAAAAAGUGCUAUUUUUUGGGUAAAUUUGUGGUGUGGAUUUCUAUUGUCUAGGUCAAUUAUUUUUUAUUAUUUUUUUUUUUUUAAGUUUUUAGGAAUACUAGUGCGAGCAAAUCUCAGGAGGUUACCUAGCAACCAAUAUUGUUGUAGUCUUUAAAAAAGAGUUUAUCUUCCAAUAAUUUAUCUUUUGAAGAACAUAUUACAUUAUUCAAUUUAGAAAUUAAUGACUUUUUGCCUCUUUAUUUUUUUAUUUUUUUUAACAGGAGAUCCACGAAGGUGAUUUACAAACUCAUAUCACUACAAAGGACUUUUCUUUGAGCUUAAAACAAAGAUAGGAAGAAGACUUUUUGUGUAAGUUGAGAUAAUAUUUUGUUUACUAAAGAAAGAAUGAUGGGAUGUCUUGGUGUGAAUAAUAUUGAAUUUAAUGUAUAUAUUUUGUUUAUGGAUAAGGAUGCAACUUGAUAUGGUUUAAUGUCUUAAAAAAUGGUUGAUUCUUCUACACGGUGUUCUAGUUUGAUACUCAUUGAUUUGUCAAAAUUUAAAUUAUGAAGUUUCAUCUUAAGGUGUGUAUUAGACAAGUUUUAAUAGGUCAAUCCCUGUAGAAUUUGUUAAUUAACUUACACUUGCUAAUUAAUUUUUUAGUAGAUCAAACUAGAAGCUAGUUAUCUUAAGAUGCGUUUAACAAAUGCUCUCGUAAUUUUUGUUUGACCGGAAAUGCUCUUAUAGUUUUUUUUUUUUUAAAAGAGAAAUGCUCUUAUAGUUAUAACUUACUAAUUUACCUCCACUAAUUAAUUUAUCUAUGAGAUAUAUAAAUGUCUGCUUUCUUUUUUGGGUCAAGAAUGUUAACUAAUUUACUAAUUUACCUCCACUAACUAAUUAAUUUACCUCCACUAAUAAAAUAUUUUGCUUGACUUUUUUUUAAGAAGUUAAAUUAGCCCAUUAAAUUAGCACAAUGGCACCAGAUAUAAUCAAAUCUGAGACAAGAGCACACUUUCAGGUCCCAAGCCAAUACCACUAGAACAAUUCAAGCGGGUUAUUUUAUUACGUAGGAGAACCACAAACUUAUCAAUUUAAUCAAGUGCACUUUCUCUUUUUUAUCUUGGAUAAAUGUGUGCUUUUUUUUUUUUGGUUGUCAAGAAUGUGUGCUUUUUUAUCAAGGCAGUAUUUUCUUAGGUGCCUUGCAGAUAUAUAUAAACUAUAAACUAUAGGUAACAAUGAGUGUAUAAAUUCAUAUAUUGUUCUAAAGAUUACCAUGUACUUCGAUUUGCUUAUCUUAUCAAAAUAAAUAAAUUGUUUUGUUUAUCUUUAUAUUUACACGCCACCUGGCCCAAUUAUAUGGGUUGGUCACAUCUUAAUUAAUUUACUUUUAGAUUUAUGAGAAAAUGAUUGGACACCUCAUUCAUGAUCCAUAUGAAUGGUUGUUUCAUUAUUUGUGUGUGUUUUUUAUUACUGUCUUAAAAUAUAAGCAAUUUUUUUUUUUUAAUAAUAUAAACAAAAAAGAUCAACUUUUAUGCUGUUAUUAUGUUUUUUCAAACAAAACAUCUUUUUCAAUGUAAAAUUAAAUGCAGUUGUAUUCAAUUUGUUCUCCUUUUUAUUUUCUCUAUAAUUUUUAACCAAUGAGAAUUAUUUUUAUUUCUUUCCAUGAAACUUAUUCCAAGGAGAAUACAAAAAAUUAUACCUCAAAUCAUUAAGUAUUAGUUUUCUUAAUAAGUGUGAAUUAGUGUUUUAUGCUUAUAAAUUAUGACGGAGGAAGUAUUUAUAAAGGUCUAUGUUUGUCUUUAUCAAUUGCAACAAAAUUUAGUGACUAUAGCAUAUUUUAGUAUUAAUUUAAAGUAAAAAUACUACUCCCUCUGUAUCAAAAUAUAAGCAAAAUUCACUUUUUAAGUUCAUUCAUUUAAUGAUGUAUGUGGUCCAUAUUAUAAACUACAUACAUCAUUAAAUGAAUGAACCUAAAAAGUAAAUUUUGUUUAUAUUUUGACGGAGUAAGAUUUUUGUUAUUAGACUUUCAAUUUGGUUUUUGAACUAUUACUCCCUCUCAAAUACCACCCUUAAACUAUAAGCUCCAAUAAAUAGUUUACAAGCAUAGAGAUUUAAUUGAACUAUCAGCUUGAAUUGUUUAUGCAUUCACAUAUUUUUUUACAUAGUAAAGAUGUUAUAAGAAUGAAAUGUUAGAGAAAUAUGACGGUUUAUUUUACAAUAGAGAUUUAAUUGUCUCGUUUCUUUGUGUAACGAUUCGAUUUUAAGAAGGAAGAUAAUGGAUGCAUUAAUCUAAAACUUGGUUUCUCAUUUUUAAUAAAAACUUUUGCUUAUAAAUUAAAAAAAAAAAAAAAAAGCUUAAUUAAGACUUAUCUAGGCCAAAAUUCCAACUCGAUCCAAUGUGUGGUAAAUGGUAAUCAGUUGAAGAAAACCACUUUACUGUUCCUUUAAUUUCAUUGUAUUAUUACACUUUCAUUUUCUCCUUGUCACACAUAUGCUAGCUACUGUCUAGUUACUCUACCUUUUAUCAUGGACGAAUAAAUUUUUGUUAGGUGAAAAAUAAUGUGAUCAAAUAGAUUUGAUGAGAACAGUAUAACGCAACUCUAUUAUUUUACAACAAAUGUUAGUAUCUCUUUCUAUAAUGAGAUAUUAAACAAGUCUUUCUAUAAUCAAAUUUCUCUCUUUUUUUUUUCCAUUCAAAUUGACCAGAAUACAUCAAUAGUAUACAAUACAAAUCCAAAGUCGUUAAAAAUAAAAAGGAUGAAUCUGCGAACAAACUCACAACAUCCAUGUUAAUAACAUAAAACGGCAUAAUACAUAUGGCUACAAAUAUGACUAUGUUCAAGCCACCGAAAUACUCGUUUUCGUAUCUUCAACAUUGAUGAUGCAAAAAUCAAUGAUUGAAUCUACGCUUGAUCAAGCUAAUCUUUCAAUCUGAAUCAAAUAAACACCAUACUAAAUUGAAAAAUAAAAAACACACAGCACAAAGAUGAAAAAUCAAAAUAAAUAAAGUCGUGUUAGACGACGAAAUAAAAAACAAACGAAAAUUUAAAAUAUUUGAAAAUCACUUAUUAAACUAAAAGAUAAAGAAAAACAAUCUGGAAGGGUGAUUUUGAACCAAACUUGAUCAUAAACCAUUUCUCUUUAGAAAAUCAAGAAAAAGAAAAGUUGUAACCGAUAGAGUUUGAGAAUGAGAAAAGAGAUAGGGAAAGAGAUCUCUUUUUUCUUUGUUAAUUGAUAUUUUUCUUUUAUGAAUUAUGCAUGCGAUCAACUUCCUUUUUUGUCUUCCUAUUUUUGCGUCUCAAUGUUAAUAUUCUUUCUGGAGUUCAAGGUUAAAGAGAAAAGAACAAGAAAAAAGUAUUAAAGAAACAGUUGCAUCCUAUUUAACAUUUAAAAGAAUAAUAACAAGCUCUAGAGAGUUCAUGGAAUUUGGUGCAGCUUAAAAUAAUCUUUUCGAAAUGUUGUUUAUGACACACAAAGCUUUUCAUUGGUCUGUCAGAACACCAAAAACUCUUGCUCAUAUUUAAGGUCACAGUUACAUAUCUUGAGAUGUCUUUUUUCACACUUAUAUUACUACUACUCUUCUUUCUAUUACCAUCAUAUGAAUACAUCGGGUCUGUUUGGGAAACCCAAAAAAAGAACUUUUAGCUUUUAACUUAUAGCUUAUAAGUUCGUUUGAUAAAAAAAGCUCUGUUUGGUAACACUUUUCACCAUGAGCUUAUAGCUUAUUUCACAAGCUUAUAAGCUAUUUUUCAGAAGCUAUUCCAAGUAGCGUUUGAGCUUAUAGCUUAUAGCUUCUCACUUUUUCUUUCAAUUUUACCCUUAUUAUUUCAUUUAAAUUGUAUUUUUAUCCAUUAUAAUUUUUAUAAUAAGCUACGUAAUAAAGACUACUAUCCCUUUAUUCCAAUUUUUGUAUAUAUAUCAGCUGGCCUUUUUUUUUUUUUUUUUAAAAAAUAUAUACCUUCGUUUUUUUUUUUACGAAACAAAAUACUAUUAUUCUAUUAGUGUUACUUUUUUUUUUUUUUUUUUUGAGGUAAGUGUUAUUUUCUUUAUUCUCUGUUAUUAGUAUUACUCUAUUAGUGCUACCUUUUUUUUUUUUUUUUAGGUAAAUGUUAUUUUCUUUAUAAAGUAGAAACACUUAAAUGAUAAUAAAUAUAAGAUAAAAUUUUAGUGAAUAAAAUUUAAUUUAAUUUAUAAUACAUAGGAUAUAUUAAAUUAAUAAAUUUAAAGUAUUUUUUUAAAGAAAAAUUAGUUUACAAAAUUACAAAUACUUAAAUUAAUGAUAUAAUUUUUAUUAUGAAUUAAGAAUACCCUUUAUGUCAUUUUACAUUUAUCAGCUAAUUGAACCGCUAUUUUUACCAAACACUUCAGUUAGCUUAUCAGCUAAAAGCUAUCAGCUAGCUUAUCAGCUAAAAGCUAUCAGCUAGCUUAUCAGCUAUCCGCUAUUUUUACCAAACAGAGCCAUCGUAGUUUUUUCAUUUGCCAUCUAUUUACAUUAAGUUCUUUGAUUCCAUUUUUUAGUCAAUGGCAACCUAAAUAUAUGUAACAAUUGGUCAGGUUCGAGGCUGCUCAUCAACCUACAUCAUUCGGUUGUUAAGAAGUUUAAGACUUAAUAAGUUUGCAUUAUGAUUUCACAAUACAAUGUUAGAGUAACUUAUUAUUUCACAAUCUGAUUUGAUUUUUUUUUUACCAUGUUCUUGAAUUGUUGUCGUGACCUUAACACUUCUCAAGUUCAAGGUCAAAGCAUCAGUCAAAACUUAAGUCAGAGUUCGGCUUCUUCUCAACGUACUUCGUACAACGAUUUUUCCAAUCUGUCUCAAAUUAGGCCAAUUGCUGAAUUUAUAAACUUAGUCAAGGUCUGUUUUUUUUUUUUUUUUAUGCACAAACAUGCUUUGAGUUUUUUUAUGCACAAAUUAAAAAUAUAUAUUGCAUUAUUCUUUAUUUCAUGUGCAUAAUUUGUGUUAGGAUACAUACUGCAUCACUAUUUGGAAAACAACUAAAUUCAAUCCUAACCAGUUUGGAUGAUACUAUGAGAGUUGCACCAAAUGUUCGAAGACAUCAAUGUCAAAUGGUGAUAGCUAUAAAUGCAAAUGAAGGAGUGAUGCUUAAUUUCCAUUUGUUUCAACAAUGUUAAUUGGCCAACGGGGUACAUAUAAUCCACAUGCAUGCAUUUAUCUAGACUUUAUAGGAAGAUAAAUUAGAAGUCAUGGUACAUUUUCUUUAGCUUAAAAUCAGUUAUGCUACCUUCAUUUUAUAAAUUAUAUGUAACUAUAUUUGCAUACAUCUUAUCCAUGUUAAUAUGCAUUAGACUAAUAUUGCAGUUAUUUCCCUGUUUAGCAUUUCCCAAACGAGGUGUCAAGAACAAUUCUGAAAGAAAAGCGCAAAACAAUCACUCUCAUUGAUGACCAGACACAGAGAAAGUAUAAGUGUCGCGUCAUUACCGCCGAAAGAGCAAGCUAUGAAAAAUACUUAGGUGGGCAUUGGUUCAAUUUCUACAGAGAACGUGUGAUGGAAGAAGGUGGAAAGCUCAUCUUUGAUCUCGAAAAGUCAUCGAAGAAUUUGCACGUUCGAGUUGUUCCAAAAUAGAUCUUUGCUGCUGAACUAUUUGAACUUCUACUAUUUUGACAUAUCGGUUUGGACUGUAAUCGUAAACUAUCUUGACUUUGGGAUGCCAUUUGUUCUUUUCAUUUUGUCUGAUGUAAAUUGUAACGCCCUAGUCGUUAUUUUAUUUAUUUUUGAUUUAUUUAGAGUAUUUUGUAUGAUUUUAAAUAAUAUUUGUGGUUUAUGUGGUGUGUUAUAUUUUAUUAUAUAGUUUAUUUUAAUAAUAAUUAGAAUAAGUGGGAAUUAAUAAUAUUUUGGAGGUUGGGGAGUUAAUUAGGAAUUAAUAGAAUUAAGGGGGAGUAAAUGAAAUAAAGGGGAGUUAUAUUUUGGGGAGUUAGGAAAAGAAAGGUCAGAAACGUUUUACGGGAAAACAGAGCUUUUGGGAGAAAAGGGAGAGAAGAGCAAGUAGAGCCAAGCGAACCUGAAUUGCUGUGCAUUUUUCUUCUGAAUUAAGGUAAGGGUGAGAUUUGCUUCAAUAGUAUAGUUAUUAAAUUCUGAUUUUGAUUUAACAAACUUUUGGUGGAAUUUGGGGAUUUUAGGUUAUUGAUGAAUUAUUGAGUUAUGGGUGUAGAGAUUGCUGUUCUGAUGUUAGAAUUAGGUUCUGGUUGCAUACAUCACUUAGUUUUACAUCUGUAAACCAAUUUGGGGAGUGAAAGUGAGAAAAUUGGAUUUUUGGGGAAAAACCUGCAUUCUGCCCGUGCUGACGUUCAUCGCUCGCCCCGGUGAGUAGCUAGUCUCGUCUCGCGAGUGAACAACUCCAUGGCUCGCCUCGCGAGCAGAACCACUCGCCAUGGCGAUCAUGUGCCUGAGAGAUCAUGAUUUUUGAAUUGUUGUUAUAAGCUGUAAUAUGGAUAGUCUUGAGUGCCUAGAUGAUUUUAGAGAGGACUGGGACAAUUUUCAGAUUAAAAAGAUGAAUAGGGAGCUUAAAAAUGAAGAUUUAGUGAGAAAAAUGUCAAAACUCCCGAGAGCACCCUUUUUCUCAUUCGCCUUGAGUUCACCACGGCGAGCAACCUAAUCCUUGAGUUCGCCAUAGCGAGUAGAUGUACUUGCGAGGCGAGCUGCCCAGAUUUUGAGCUGUUUAUUCUGUUUCGAAUGUUGUUGAAUGAUCUUGAUGUUUAAGCAUGUUUAUGAUUAAUUGUGCAUUUUUCUGAAAUUGUUGGAUUGAAUUAUACUGAUCUGUUGUUGACUGUGAUGUAUGCUUUUAUUUAAUUAAAUCAUACAUGUUGUUGAAUUGUGGGUUGUGAGUCAUAUACAUAUAUAUGCAUUUGUUGAGUUGUAUGUAGAUAUACACAAGUGGAGUCAGUUGCAUAAGCAUAUAAAGCGGGAGGGCUCUUGCCCUGGAACGCAUUGUCGUUCAAAGCGGGAGGACUCAUGUCCUGGAACACUUAUUGUUCAAAGCGGUGAGGGCUUAUGCCCUGAUGAAUGCUUUAACCAUUCAAUAUCCGGUGAGGGCUACUGCCCUGUAAAAUUGGUACCACAUGCAUGUGCAUUGUCGAGGAGUCUUAGUGGUGUUGUCGAGUAGUUGCAUGAGUCGUGUUAUUGGUUGUGAUUACCAUUAUUGCUGAUGUUGCUGUUUAUGAAGUAUAUGUUCAUAUUGGAUAACUAUUAUUAUGUUAGGGUGUUAGAUUCAAUUGAUAAAUUUAAUAUAUAUAUUUAUUGUUGUGAAUCUCACCCCUUCUGCUUGAAAAUGUUGCCCUUCCUAUGGGUAACUUGCAGGUGAUCCUGAGUAGUAGGUGGUGGCUCAAGUGUCUAGGGCUCUGAUACGUACGGGAUGAGAUUUAUUUUCUUAUUUUCAUUCCUAUGUAUCAAUUUCUGGAACAUGUUGAUGUAGUCCUUUAUUUGGUUGUUGAAGUAAUUGAUGAGGCUUUUGCCAAGAUUAUUUAUUGGAGAAUUAAUAUGUUGGAUGUUGUUGUUAUUUAAAUGUUGAAAAUAUUCCGCUGCAAAGUUUUGAUGAAACCGUUUAAGUUGUUUUUUAUUAAAUAGUUUUAUAAUCUAUUUAAUUUUUUUUGAAAAGUAGUGUGACAUGCCCGUUUGAGAUAUACUCUGAAGUAUGUUUAUUAUUUAUUUAAUUGCUUUGGGAUAACGGGAUGUUACAUAAAUAUUGGCAAAAAUACCUUUUUGGUUAGUCAAUGACACUUGCAGUCUCUUUUAUAAACCCAACUAUUAUGUAACGUUAAUAUGCACAUUGUUGGUUCCUUUGUUGGUUCCAAUUAGUAUCAUGUUAAUUAUAAUGUUGUUUUUCAUAAUCUCUUGAACAAAAUAGAACAUGCUCUUUUCCUACAUAAAAUCUUAGAAAAAUGCAGCUAUUUUCCUUAAUUUGCUCAUUUCUCCUUUAUAACAAAGUUUUUUAAAAAUACAGCAAAAUUGAUUUAUUUAGAAUAUUCGAGUUUGUGCAAUAUUCAUUAAUUUGCUCAUUUUUCCUUUGGAACAAUUUUUUUACAAGAUACGUUAUUCAACCCGUGCUUGUAACCGUAUGCUCUGUGUUAGCAAGGGCAAAAGAGAGAGCAAACAUCCUACUUGGAGAUCUAUAUAGUAACCUAGCACAUUCUAUCAUUCUGUUAGCUAUAAGCCUAGUAAAGGGUGAGGUUAGGUGAAAAAUUUACACAUUUAUUCUUUAGUAUUUGGUAAUAUUAGUUAUUGAACUAGUUGAUAAAUAUAAAAUGAUAAAAUAUUAUAUAAUUAAUAUUUAAUCUUUUCCGUUGAGAUUACAAUGUAAAAUUGAAAUAAAAACGAUAUAUAUCCAUUUGAAAUAGUUUAUAAAAAAACGUGUUAAACUAGUUAAAAAAAACUAUAAAAAUCCGUGAAAACAUCAUAAGCUCAAAUGUUGGACUUAGAAACAAAGUCAAUUUUUUUUUUUUUUUUGCUAAACCAAGAGAAUGGAUAGGCAUCAAGGGGAAGAAACGACAUCCCAACUAGAUUGGCACCCGCAGAACCCCCAUCCUAUGCCGCCAAACUCAAGAAAUUUUAUUAAAAAAAGGGGGAAAAGAUUACAUGAGGGGGGACUAGGCCAAAACCCUAAAAAAAAACAAGAAACAAAAAGCAACCAAACAGAAAAAUAAACAGAAAACAGAAAAAGAGCAACUGUCUACGGGAACCUAGAGAGCGAGGGAACCCACUCCGAUCCAAGAAGAGAUCAAUCUGAAGAGUCUGAGGCAACACUGAGAACCAAACCGAGUCUUGUGUCGAGUGACCCAUAUUAGCCAGCAAAUCUGCACAACAAUUUCCUUCCCUAAAGAUGUGAGAAGUAAUAACAUGUAAGAGGACUGAUUUUAAAUGACUUUUGUGAUAACCUUUUUCUCCUCUUUUUACUGGACAAUAACAAUAGAGAAUGAAAAAAUAAGAGAAAGAAUAAGAGUACAACAAAAAUAUAAGAAAUAAAAUUGUCACAAAAAAUAUACAAAUAUUAUCAUAAAAAUUAUUUAAAAAUGGUUGUUCCACUAUUAUUUCUUUAAUUAUAUAGUGUAUUGCAUGUGCAAAAGAAAUAAGCCAAGUUAAAUGACACCAUAUGCCAAAUGCAAAUGGUCCCACUUAAUUAAAUUGAUUGACAAAUGGCUGGUUCACCUAAGAGAUAUAUAGAACAAAAUAUUUUGCUUGACCUUGUUAAUUCCAUUACUUAGGAGAACAAGAAAAUUAUUAUUUUAAUUAUGUACCCGUUCUUAUCAACUCAUUAUUUUAAUGUGGUGCCUUGCAAAUAUAAACUAUAAACUAUAGGGAACAAGGAGAGUACAAAACUAAAUAGUUCUUCGAAAGUUAUCCUUGUACCUUGCUUUGCCUAUCUUAUCACAAAAAAUAUUAGAAACAUUGAUUAACAAUAUUCGUUUUAUUUGAUUUUCAUUCUUUUACCAGAUAAAACUCAUGUGGAUCUUAUCAUUUAUAUGGUAUCUACUUCUAAAAUGUGAGAAUUCAUAAAUUUCUCCUAAUAAGAUAAAUAUUGGUGUUAAAGAAAAUAUAUGAAAGAAGAUAUCCGUAACACUUUUUAAUACAUACACACACAUAUAUAUAUAUAUAUAUAUAUUAGAGGUUGCUUUUCUUCAUAUUUACACGCCGUUGGCCCAAUGGGUUGGUUUACUUUACCAAAUAUAAUCUUUAUUUAUUUAUUUUUAAAUGAAUGAGAAAAUGAUUGUACACCUCAUUCAUGAUCCAUGCUGAAUGGUUGCUUCAUUAUUGGUGAUUUUUUUUUUAAUUAUUUUAUAAAUGUCCAUAUUUGUCUGUAUCAAUUGCAACAAAAAUUGGUGACUAGUUUGAUAGUCUCAAUUUAAAGUAAACAUACUGACAUUUUUACUUAAAAAAAUUAUAAUUUAAUCCUAAACUAUUAUUGGGGUUCUUACCAAAAAAAACUAAUAUAGUAAUUAAUUUCAAAAUUAUUAUUUGUGCAUUAACGUAGCCUUUCAGUUGGUGUAAAAAUGAGAGAGAAUGAUAAUUAAAAAAUAAAUUUGAUGAAAUUAAAAUAAUUAUAUUUAUUUAUGAGGCUAAAAGAUAUACAUUAAUAGAAGAGAGAAUACCAAAAUUAAACAUAAGAUGUGUCUAAAAGGGAAUCAAAACUAAAUCUCAAAAAACAAAUAACAAAACGGGUAGCCAAAAAGCGGCAUCAUAAGGUGGAGAAUCUUAAACAUGCAUGAAAAUUAGUUUACCAAGCAUGAAAAUCAAAACAGAUAUUAAGCUUAUGAGCCUUCAACCACCACAAAUAAUAUAUUUUCACCCUUUCAAAUAUCAAUCAUUUUAAAGGUAAGUGACUCUUUGUUUUAAAAAAUCCGAUGUUACACUCCUUCUACAUGAUCCAAAUAUUAGCAAAAAAUUGACGAGGUUUCUUUCUGGACAUGUAAGCUCCACCAAACUAAAUAGAAUGCAUGCCAAUGUCGGAGAGAGGCGUACUAUCGAUCCCCCAACAGUUGCAAAAUGGACGAUCGAGUGCUCACAAAAAGAUUACACUUCGUUUUUGUGUGUUAACCCUCGAUUUUUUAAGGAAAGAGGUAAUUAGUAAUCCGGGAGUUUGUUCGGAAAAUAAUUAAGUAAAGUUUAUACAAUAAUAAUUGUUUCCAUCAAGAAUCGAACUCGAGUUCUCAUAAACUAAUUGUUCUAGAGAGAAUUCAUUGACCAUUUAAACUCGGUUACGGAUCAGGAUAACAUAAAAUGAGAAAUGAUGAAGUAUGAAGACAUGAUGUGUAAAUUAAGACCAUACAUAACAUGCCAUCAUUCCUUGUCGUCACCAAAACCAUUCUUGGUAAAAUGGUUUUCUUAUUUCUUUUUCCUCUAUGUCAAAAGCCUUAAACAAGGGUUCAUGUUAAAGUUGCUGCCUUUAUUUGAUUUGAUUUUUGAGGUUUUGUGCUCAGAAGUCAUGACAUAGUUUACUGUUGUCAUCCACACGGUGUUGAAAGAAUCAUGGUGAUGAUUGAUAUGUGGGCCACCUAAUGGGUUUAUUAAUAUGGGGCCAUUAAGGUGAUGUCAUUUUUUACAACAACAAAAAGUUCUAUCACAAGAUAAACUCUACAAACGUUAAUAAUGUUUCUGGUUGAAUUUGUGCCAUGACUUGAGCACAACGACCACAAGUAUAACUUAUUAUUUAGAUCAAUGAAGAUAAUUCGUUCAAAAUCAAAUAUACUUUUUAAACUAUUUUCUAUCAAAACUAAAGCCCAAUUUUCCGUGUAAAACCAUGUUAUCCUAAUUUUGUGUAACAAAGUAAGGUUAAUUUUGGUUGUACAGAAUUCAUUUUAGGUUGGUCUGGUGGUAUUAACUUAUACUUAAAAGCUUGUUGUUCCUCGUACGCAAGUGAGAUAAAUCGCAACAUAUGCAAGUUAAUUCACCCGUAUCAAAUAAAAUAAAAACUCAUUUUCUUCAUCUUAAUUAUUACAACGAGUUGUCAUUUUCUUCUCAAAAACAUUAAAUUUUUUCAUAUCCUUCAUUCAACAUGUAAUCUUCAUCUCUUUCAUUUCAGAAUCAAAUCAUAAUUGUCAUUAUGAGUAAACUACCUCAAAUUCAUCAUUGAGUGAUGUAAUCCUCAUUGAUAGUUUUUUUUUCUUACAAUCAAUACCCAUUUUUAUCUCAAGAGAAUCAACUUUUUCAUCUUCUUUAUUUAAUAUACAAUCUCCAUCUUUUUCAUUUCAAAAUCAAAUCAUAUUUAUUAUUAUUAAGGGUAAAUUACUCCUAAUUCAACAAAGGUAACGCAGACCUCACCAAAAAUUUCGCGGUGGUUACAUGUAAAUGCGGAAAUCUCAUCAAUAACCAAAUAGAGGCUAACAAGUAGGGUUGGGAAUAGGCUAGACUGGCCUACAGGGGCCUACGGCCUGGUUUGUUUUGGCCUGGCCUGGCCUGUUUAGUAGAUAGACUUAGGCUUAGGCUUUUUAAAAAGUCUGUUUAGUUAAAUAGGUCAGGCUUAGACUUCAAGAAAAGUCUGUUAAGUCUAAUAGGCCGGCCUAUUAAUACUUAUUUAUUAAAAAAUAUUUUUUAUAUUAAAAUAAUUGCAUACAUUAAAAAUAUAAACAUCUUUUUCUCUAUCUAUUAGUGCCUAAAUAGGCUUUGUUGUUAUAGACUUUUAAGUAGGCUUUAAUCUAGUUAAAAUUUACUUGUAGUUAAAUAGGCUUUUAAGUAGGCUUUAAGACAUGUUUAGCUUAUUUAGUAAGCCAAAUGAACUAUUUGAUGGCCUUAAUAUAAAGUAGGCCUGUAAGUAGGCUUUCAGACUAGUCCAGACUUUUAAAUAGGUCAGGCCAGACCAAGAAAAACGGCCUAUAAUAGGCCACAUGCCAGGCUCAGGCUUGUAAAUUUUUUCGUAGGCCAGGCUCAGGCCUAUCAAAGCCUGGCCUGACCUGGCCUAUUCCCACCCCUAAUAACAAGUACUAGAUAAUAACGUUAGACCACGGGGACCUGACUGUGUCAACCACAAAUAUAAGGUCAGGGUAGGAGUUACUACUAACUAUGUAGUGGGUCCAUUACAUUAUGGAAUUGGACUUUGAUAGUUUGAGCCAACUUAUGGUAGUAAGUUGAGAGCCACUUUACUAUUUGGUUUCAUUUUAAACACAUUCUUUUUCCGUCUUAUUGCGUUUCUCGCGUGCAUUAUGUAAUUUGGAUUAUAAAAUUCAAACGACAUAAACACUUUAUAAAAUCUAUCAAAAUACGUUAAAAUAUUUUGAAUUUUAGAAUCUGAACCGGACGCAUGAGAAAUUUAUAGAAUAGAAAAAGUAGCUGUCUUCAUUUUACUAUUACACUUACUUUCUCUUUGUCACACAUCUGUGUACUAAUGUCUAGUUAUGGAAUUGGAUCCUCUCUUGUUUUUUUUUUUCUUUUUUCCAUUCAUCCCUCUUUUUUCUAAUCUAAAGAGAUGGAUGAAUGGUUGUGAUUAAUGCAGCACCAACAACAUAACAAAAAUGGUAGAAGAGGAUCUAAACCCGUCUUUUAUCAUGAAUGAAUAAUUUUUUGUUGGAUGUGCAGAAAACAAACAUAUUACACGUCCAAUUAAAUUCAAGUAUUGUGUAAUGUGAUCAAAUGGAUUUGAUGAGAGUAGUGUAACCCUAUUAUUUUACAACAAGUGUAAGUAUUGUUAAUAUUAUGUUGAGGGUAGAUAUUAAGUUUUAAAUCUCUCAGUAAUGAGAUCUAUUUUCUUCUUAGUUAAUUGAUAUUUUCAUUAUCCUAAUUAUAUGAUCAGUUUUUUUUUCCUUCCUAUUUUUGUGAUUAUAUUCUUUCUAGAGUUUAAGGUUAAAGAGAAAAGAACAAGAAAAAAUUAUCAAAGGAACAGUUGCAUCCUAUUUAACAUUAAAAGCAUAAUAGCAAUCAAGCUGCAUGCCUUGAUCUAAAGUUCAUGGAAUUUGAUGAAGCAUAGAAGAAUCUUUUUGAAAUACUGACUAUGACACACAAAGCUUUCAUUGGUCACAGUUACCCAUCUUGCCAUGUCUUCUUUCGCUCUUAUUAUUACUGGUAUUCUAUAAAGCAUGGACACGGACACCGGACACGACAUGGACACUGACAUGUCGAUACAGUUAAUAAUUUGAAAAAAUCACAUAAUUUAGUGUAAUUGUAAGUGUCUGUAUCGUGUUGGAUAUGACACGUGUCCGACACCGAAACACACCUAAUCCGAGGAGUGUCAGUGUUUCAUAGCUAGUAUUCCUAUUUUUACUUUACUUUUUAAACUUUUUGGAUUGGACAAACUUGAAAGGCAAACAACCUAAGGAUGGUACUGGUUCAAAUUAUGAGAAUUCUAAACCAUAAUUUAAAGUUAAAUUAGACAUUUGGUCGCUUAAUUAAUUUGUGUGUUUCCUUCAUAACUCCUAAAAUCGUACAUUUAAGUGCAGAUCCAUUAUUGAACUCGAUGGAUGGGUGUUUCCUCAAACGCUACCAUGGUGGGCUGAUUUUAGCUGUUAUUGGAAGAGACCUUAAUGAUCAAAUGCUUCCAAGACCAUUUGCUAUAGUGGAAGGGAAAACCAAGGACUCUUGGAGUUUGUUCUUGGAACCUCUAAUAAAUGAUUUAGGUUAAGACAUGCAUUUUUAUAAGUCAUCAAUAAUGUUGUAUUUUCAAUUUAUUUUCAUUAUGUUUUUCUAUUCUUUUGUAUAUACAAGAUGUUGAUAAUCUUGAAUGUGAUGUAGAGUCUAUUUCCUUCUAUUGAAGAAUUGCUGCUUAGGGUGGAUCAAAGAUUUUGAGUGAGACACCUUUUACAAUAGUUUUAGAAAAAAGAUUUCUUGGUAAAAAGUUGAAAGAAGUAAUGAGGAGACAUGGUAAGGCCAUAUCCAAAUGCAUGGGAAAGGGAGAUAAAAGGAAAUCAAAUAAGUUAAUGAAGAUGCUUUCAAGUAGCUUAUCCAAAUACGACCAAGACAUUGGAGUAAAUCAUGGUUCAUACCUAAUUCAAAGUGUGAUACACUUGUAAAUUUCAUGUCAGAAGAUUUCAAUCCUGUUAUAACAAAAUAGAAUAACACAAUACACGAGAACAACACAUGAAAAGCUUUUAUGGUAAUAAAUAAUUUUUUGUCUUAUACGAUGUUUGAUGGACAAAUUACUAUUUUGAUAUUUUAGACAAUUUACAGUUGAGACAAAAAGUUGUGGUUUAGUGAAAGAUAAGUAUUUCAGUUUUUGUCAUGUCUUUUGUCCUCCGGUUUGUGUUGUUUCUAUAACAGUUUUACAAUCAAACAUAGUACAAUUGAAGUCAUCUUGUUUAAUCCAUUGUUUUAUAGCAUACCAAAUGAACCCAAAUAGUUAAACCCUAGAAAUGGAAGAAGCGUGUCGACAAAAUUAGAAUUAUGACAUUCGCCACACUCUUUUUUUUUUUUAGGUAGAUAGACGAAAUGGCAAAACCAUCAUAAACUCACACACACAAGUGGAGGUACCGGGGUUCGAACCCCAGUCUGAUAUCCGACCUAAUAAUUUCGGCAUUUUGUCAGUUGAGCUAUGACUUGUGGAUACACUCUUUUUAACAUUAUCGCAAAAUACAAGUUUAUUUCAAAGGAGAAAACUUAGGUACAAUUUCUUAGGUGCUUUUCGUAUGGUUCUUAACUAAAAAUACAUAUUUUUUUGGAUAUAACAAACUUUGAGAAAAUUAUGGAUUUGAGGAAAUCAUAGUGAAUUUAGUUAAGAACCAUACGAAAAGCACAUAAGGAAUUGUACAUAAAUUUUCUACUAUUUCAAAUUAUUAGAAAAUAUAUUUACUAUUAUCAUUACUAUUAUUAAUUUAUUUGGGAAUUGAAAAUUCAUAUUUAAUAAUUUAUACAUCCCCUCAAAAAAAAAAAAAAUUAUACAUAAAAGACAAUUUAAUAUGUAUAGACAAGUACUCAUUGUGGCUCAUCCAAAGGCAGCAAAGAUUGUUAUUUUUCAAAGUAAAGACAAAAACGAGACAUAAACACAGAACUAUAGCAGAAUUUAGAAGAAAUAUCUAUAUAAUUUAUGCAAUUUGACCGAUUAGACCUAAGAAAAUUGUUUAAUAGGUCCAUCUAAACGUUUAAAGGCCUUUGAAAAUCCAAAAUAUUAAUGCCUCUAUCAAGAAUUACAAACCGAACCCUCUCGGGUCCUAACUUUCGCUCACUGUUGUCUGAGGGUUACGAUAAGAUCUCAUGUCUCUACAUCUCUUAAGCAUGCCUCCAGUCAAAGCUCAUGUCAAAUUCAAUUCUUUGAAAAUAGAUGGUUGUGAUGUAUUUAAACCCGCAUAUAAGAUGACUGAGUUGGAGAGGCAACUUAACCAUUUUUUUUUCAUGAAUCUCGUGAAAAUCAAUUUGUGUCUCAUAUUUCAGUUCAUUACGUAGGUCUCAUACAUAGAUCACAAGGAUGAUAACAACAAAGAUAUCAUUUUGUCAUUAUCCAAAGAUUCUUAAUGAUGAUUCCGCGUAUGCCGCAUAUUUUUUAAUUACCAUGGUAUCUAAAAGGGAGUGUUAUAUCUUCGGGUUCGUCCAAACUGUAAAUAUUAAAAAUGUUAGUAGAGUUUGGUUAAAUGGUGUUGUAAUUUUAAAAUGUGAUGUCAAUUUGCAUUAUGUUUUUCAAUUUGUCCAAUGGUUGUUCUAAUCUAUCUACAUCGUUGUUAAACUAUUGUUAUUGAAUUAUGAGUGGUUGUUGAAUAAUGAUUGGUGGUACUAUAAUACAUGUUUCAGCCAAAUGCAAAAACGAAUCAGAUCCUAACCCCCACACCCUUCGGGUUGUAACCCCCGGAUCCUUGAUAAAGAAAAAAAAGAUGAUCGGGUCGUAACCCCUAAACCUGAGCAAUUGAGAGUUACAACCCGAGAAGGGUUUUUUUCAGAUUUUUUAGGUGCAUGUGAGUAUUUAAAGGGGUCUAUAGAGAAAAUUUCUCUCUAUUAUGUUGUUGUCUCACAAGGCCUGCCCAACAAUAAGACUAGUAAAACCCUCACGUAGAACAUCAACAAAACAUUAUUUUUCAUUAGAUUUUAUGAAUAAAAAUGUCUCAUGCUAAUAAAAAAAAAAAAAAAACAAAAGCUUCGUACAUUAAAGAUUGUUUUAGGUGUCACUUACUAUUAAAAGAUAUUACGUUGUUUCACUAAAUAUUUCAUGUGAAAAAGAGAAUAAAUAUCAAUCAACUUUCAUUUUAUUUUUUCUUGGAAAAAUCAACUUUUUUAAUUAUGUCUAGGUUGAAUCAAGGAAAUAAAUCUCAUAUACUACGUCAUAUAAUUCAUAAAUUAAAAUAGUAGUUGAUAUUUAGACACAAUAGAAAAUCAUAAAGGCUUUAGUUAUCUUCAAUUGGAAGUAGUGCUUCAAGUGUCAUAGCCAUUACAUGGCAUAAAGUUCUUCAAUUGUAAAGUACAUAAGUUGAUGAUGCAGUUCAACUUCAAUAAACAGUGCUUAGACUAACUGCAACAACACAAAGUAAUAGCAAUUUAAACACUUCAAUAAACAGUGCAUAGCCAUUUUAUAUUGUCUGAAGGAUUUUUUGAUAUUGGAUUUGAAAAAUAUCAAUGGAAUGGAUUUUUUCAAAACCGAUUCGAAUUGAAAUCAUCUUCAUCAUAACACAAAAUUCACUUGAUUAUGACGAGUCACUAUGCCAACACAGAACAGCAGGGGAAUAACGAAUUAUUUGGCAAGCCAAGAUGCCUUCCAAAAUUAAGAACUUCAUGUGGAGAGUAAGGAGGAACUAUUUGCCUAUACGUGUUAGGCUUCAAACGCGAGAGUCAGCUGUGAUACGCAAUGUGCUUUUCGUAAGAGCAUGAAGAUAGUCUGCACAUUUUGUUCCAUUGUGACAGAGUCAGAGAUGCUAGCAAAGGACAGGUUUUUGGAGUACUAUCGUGCCAGUGAUUCAUGUGAACAACAAUAUUUCUCAGGCUGUGUUCGCUAUAUUGCAGAAAUUGAAUAAGAUCCAAAUCCCAACCUUCUGUGUCUUCGUAUGAAGUAUAUGGAAGAGUAGAAACAACAAAAUCUGGAACAAACUAAGUGAGACCUGCCAGAGAAUCUGCGUGCGAGCUGAUAGCCUUCUGGAAAGCUGGCAGCGCUCAAAAUAUCAAACAAAAUGGGCAACAACCCCCUGUCAUAGCCUACAAUGUAUGGUGGCAGAAACCGGUAGUAGGUCGGUACAAAUGUAAUGUGAUGCUCAUUCUCGAGCAAACAAAAUAAAGUAGAUAUCGGUGUAUGUAUCAGAUAUGGACAUGACAGUUUUGUUCUAGCCCGAACUGAUUGGUUAUCCCCUCUAGUCGAUGUUGAUAUUGGUGAAGCACUUGGGCUCCUCACAGCCUUACAGUUACAAAACUUGGAUUUUGAGAUGGAUUCGAAAUUGGUUGUGGACAGUGUCUAUGGGAAGAGGAUCAUGAAUUUGGAUUUUGGUGCCAUCAUAAAUGACUGUUGUACUCUCCAUGUUUUUGAUCUUGUAACUUCUGAUGUUAGGUUCAUUAGGAGACAAGCCAAUGAAGUCGUUCACAGAUUAGCUCGGGCUAGUUUCCACAUAUUUAUUAAUAUUCCAUCAUGCAUCGAAACUUU